AGGAUUCCCCUAGUAACUGCGAGUGAAGCGGGAAGAGCUCAAAUUUCGAAUCGGCGGCCUCGCGGGUCGUCCGAGUUGUAAUCUAGAGAAGCGUCUUCCGCGCCGGCGCCGUGUACAAGUCUCCUGGAAGGGAGCGUCAUGGAGGGUGAGAACCCCGUCCCUGACACGGGCCGCCGGGGCUAUGUGAUGCGCUCUCGACGAGUCGAGUUGUUUGGGAAUGCAGCUCAAAACGGGUGGUAAACUCCAUCUAAAGCUAAAUACGUGCGAGAGACCGAUAGCGUACAAGUACCGUGAGGGAAAGACGAAAAGAACUUUGAAAAGAGAGUUAAACAGUACGUGAAAUCGCUGGAAGGGAAACGCUCGAGGCCAGUCGCGUCGACCCGGGGGGUCAACCUCACGUUCGCCGUGGGGCGUACUUCCCCGUCGACGGGUCAGCGUCGGUCUCGGUCGUCGUACAAGGGUCGGAGGAAGGUGGCGCUCCUCGGAGCGUGUUACAGCCUCCGGUCGCAUGCGACGGUCGGGACCGAGGAGAGCUCGGCGCGCGCGAGCGUGCCAGAGGAUGCUGGCGUAAUGGCCCCGAGCGACCCGUCUUGAAACACGGACCAAGGAGUCUAACGUGCGUGCGAGUGUUCGGGUGGCAAACCCGCGCGCGAAAUGAAAGUGAAAGGUCGAGACCUCCGUCGUGGAGGGCACCGACGCCCGGCCCGGCGUCUCUGACAGAGGGCCCGAGGUGGAGCACGCACGUUGGGACCCGAAAGAUGGUGAACUAUGCCUGAAGAGGGCGAAGCCAGAGGAAACUCUGGUGGAGGCUCGUAGCGAUUCUGACGUGCAAAUCGAUCGUCGAAUUUGGGCAUAGGGGCGAAAG
rnacentral:rRNA from 1 species